rnacentral:rRNA from 1 species
UACAGAGGGGGCAAGCGUUGUUCGGAAUUACUGGGCGUAAAGGGCGCGUAGGUGGCCUUCUAAGUCGAACGUGAAAUCCCUGGGCUCAACCCAGGAACUGCGUCCGAGACUGGGAGGCUUGAAUCCGGGAGAGGGAUGCGGAAUUCCAGGUGUAGCGGUGAAAUGCGUAGAGAUCCGGAAGAACACCGGUGGCGAAGGCGGUUAGCUGGGCAGUUGCUGACACUGAGGCGCGACAGCGUGGGGAGCAAACAGG